AUUUUAUCGCGAAAUUAAUAUAAAAAAAAAAAAGAUCAAGUGUAGUAUCUGUUCUUCUCAGUUUAAUACCUGGGACGGAAACGAUUCGUUUCCUCUAUGUAUUAAUCGGAUUUUUGAACUUGGAGUAUGGUGCUGGAGCUUGCUCCACCCUGCUCACGGGUUGUCCUGGUAUUGCAGUACCUCCAGGUUCGGCUCACGUUUC
rnacentral:snRNA from 1 species